CGAGUUGUGACAUCGAGAUAUCAAGUGAAGAAGCUAUAGAAACUGCAAAGCAACUAAUGCUUAAAGAAGGCCUGUUUGUAAGUUCCCUAAUAAGAUGCAGAAGACGAGCGAGAAACUUUUUUGGUUGAUGAAGAUGAUGAAGACAAUGACGGGAAUGGGAAUGCCAUUGGUGAGUGGGGAUAUCUGUGCAAUUUAAACAGUUUUGGAAGUGGAGAGCAUCGCCACAAGGGUAGGACAAGUGAGGAGCAGAAGAACAAGGAUAGGACAAGUGAGGAGCAUCGACGGCUGCAGAUUCUCGAACCGAAAU